rnacentral:pre_miRNA from 1 species
CUGGGAACAAUAUCCUGGUGCUGAAUGAGUGUGAUGAGAUAUUGAAAAACUCCAGCAUCAGUGAUUUUGUUGCUAG